rnacentral:rRNA from 1 species
AUUGAACGCUGGCGGCGGGCCUAACACAUGCAAGUCGAGCGGAUGAAGGGAGCUUGCUCCUGGAUUCAGCGGCGGACGGGUGAGUAAUGCCUAGGAAUCUGCCUGGUAGUGGGGGAUAACGUCCGGAAACGGGCGCUAAUACCGCAUACGUCCUGAGGGAGAAAGUGGGGGAUCUUCGGACCUCACGCUAUCAGAUGAGCCUAGGUCGGAUUAGCUAGUUGGUGGGGUAAAGGCCUACCAAGGCGACGAUCCGUAACUGGUCUGAGAGGAUGAUCAGUCACACUGGGACUGAGACACGGUCCAGACUCCUACGGGAGGCAGCAGUGGGGAAUAUUGGACAAUGGGCGAAAGCCUGAUCCAGCCAUGCCGCGUGUGUGAAGAAGGUCUUCGGAUUGUAAAGCACUUUAAGUUGGGAGGAAGGGCAGUAAGUUAAUACCUUGCUGUUUUGACGUUACCAACAGAAUAAGCACCGGCUAACUUCGUG